CGACGUCGGUUCCUCCUCCCGUCUGAAGACUGACGGGAGGAUUUUACGACGUCGCAGAGAAACUCGGGUCUUUUUCACCCAGGAGGCUUCAGGCUUCGGCCGGAAUCAAAGCCGCUCCUGGUUUUGCGGGACCCAACAAAA